UACGUAGGUGGCAAGCGUUGUCCGGAAUUACUGGGCGUAAAGCGCACGUAGGCGGACAUUUAAGUCAGGGGUGAAAAUCCCAGAGCUCAACUCUGGAACUGCCUUUGAUACUGGGUGUCUUGAGUAUGGAAGAGGUGAGUGGAAUUCCGAGUGUAGAGGUGAAAUUCGUAGAUAUUAGGAAGAACACCAGUGGCGAAGGCGGCUCACUGGUCCGGUACUGACGCUGAGGUGCGAAAGCGUGGGGAGCAAACAGG
rnacentral:rRNA from 1 species